UUGUGUGGUUCAUUAUCGUUAUCUUCUGUUGUUUUUAUUCAGUGAUUUUGAGUUGUUUGAAAUAUUUGAACUUUUGAUUGAUCAUUUUGAGAUUUUUGUGCUUCUUGGGUGCAAAGUUACAAUUUUUUGGACGUGUGGUUGUUGGGUUAUUUUAACAUAUCUUUCUAUUGAUGUUUGUUGUAAAGAUAAUUUGAUUUUGUUUUCUAACUUUGUUUGUUUCAUUACAUGGUAUACUUAUUGGGACUGAAGGGAAUCCAGGUUAUUUGGCUAUUAGUAAUAGUACCUGUAAAAAGAAACAUUUCUUGAACAUUAUUUCCUGCAGUAGCCAAGACAUGAUACUUAUAUUGGUUUCUUGCAUUCUCUUAAAUUAAGUUUGGUAGACAAAUGAUGUAUAGAUUAUAAUCCACUUGUAUUGUAGACAUCACUACUAUUAAAAUUUUAAUUUCUUAGAUUUCUUAGAAGAUAGAUUACAACUAUUAUAAUAAUGUCCAUGUGGUAAAUUAACUUUGCUUAACUAACGUACUAGUCAUAGGUGUUUUUAUUGGACUAAAUGUUUGGCAAAGUUGUUGAUUCCAUUACGGUUGGAUUCAUAUCUUAUUGCUAUUGCAUCUCUUUUUUGAAUCUCUUUCGAAAUAUCCAUUUGUUAUUAACUAAACUCUUGUAUUCAUUCAUGGAUAUGUUGUUUGACCGUGCUUAUAAAGAACAUCUUUUGGAGUAAUUUAUUGUACAGAAAUACCUGUAGCUGAAUAAAUAUUGAGGUCACCAUUAUAGAAUUUUUUAGAAGCAUUAAUUAUGACUAGUGCAGCAGUAUAUUGAUUUGUCAAAUAUGUUACUUUAAACAAGAGGUAUAAUAUAUUUAAAUUACUUUUAAAAGGGUAAUGUUAUCACUUGAAAAUGGUUGAGAGGAAAGAGUAUAGGAAUCUUGUUUUGCCUUUAAUAUUUAAAAAUUAUAGGGUUAAAUAUGUUUUUCGUCCCUUAAGUAUCACACGAAUUUGGUUUUAGUCCCUACUCGAAACUUUGAUGGUUUUUAGUCCUCAUUGUUUUGAAACUCUUACUAUUAGUCCUUAAAAUAUGACGACAUUAACUUUUAGUAGAUGUGACAAACGGCGAGGCCACGUUUUAUGCCAGCUGCCCUGUUCACUAUCUGCCACGUUGGUUGUUUAAUUUUUGAAAUGAGAUUAAGUAUGUUAACUGUGCAUUUGGUUGAAGCGCACUUCGUCAUCUCUUAUAAAUGAGAUUUUAAGAAGUUGGGUUCUUCUUCGUCACUCUAGUUGGAGGCAAAGAAAGCUGAGGAGGUACAUAUGAAGGUUGAAGUUCGUCUUCUUGAGGAGUGAAAUGAAAGGUGAUAGUGGAGGAAAUGGUUGGACACGAAGGUCAAUUGGUUCGGGAAAGUCGCAAAGCUGUGGAUCAACUUCACGAUUACCAUCUAAAUUGUGUGGUUGUGGUGAAACAUUGUUGCUUUUGAAGGCAACUACCGUGAAGAACAAAGGAAGACUGUUUUAUAGAUAGUAAUUCAAGUUGUAAUUACUUUGAAUGGCAUGAUGAAGGAGUUUCUGAAAUUGAAGGAAGCUUUGCAAGAAAACGUGAAGAACUCGAAAUGUGUUUGGAAAAUGAAAAACUUGUACUGGAUCUAAGGAAGAACGACAAGAUGAAAAGGAAAUUAGAACAAGAGAAGAAAGUUGGGAAAAUGAUGUUGUUGUUGUUUGUUUUGUCAUGGGCGUUAACAAUUUUCUUUUGUAUUAUGUUUUUGUUGAAGAUGAAUUGUAAUUAAGAAUUAUGGUUGAAUAAAAUGAGGUACCUGAGUUUGUCUCCAAAUUCUG